GCAUGUCUCAGUACAAGCCAAAUUAAGGUGAAACCGCGAAAGGCUCAUUAAAUCAGUUAUGGUUCCUUAGAUCGUACCCACAUUUACUUGGAUAACUGUGGUAAUUCUAGAGCUAAUACAUGCAAACAGAGCUCCGACCGGAGACGGAAGGAGCGCUUUUAUUAGAUCAAAACCAAUCGGCGGCGGGUUCGCCCGUCGUCGUACAUCUUGGUGACUCUGAAUAACUUUUUGCUGAUCGCACGGUCCAGCACCGGCGACGCAUCUUUCAAAUGUCUGCCUUAUCAACUGUCGAUGGUAGGUUCUGCGCCUACCAUGGUUGUAACGGGUAACGGGGAAUCAGGGUUCGAUUCCGGAGAGGGAGCCUGAGAAACGGCUACCACAUCCAAGGAAGGCAGCAGGCGCGCAAAUUACCCACUCCCGGCACGGGGAGGUAGUGACGAAAAAUAACGAUACGGGACUCAUCCGAGGCCCCGUAAUCGGAAUGAGUACACUCUAAACCCUUUAACGAGGAUCAAUUGGAGGGCAAGUCUGGUGCCAGCAGCCGCGGUAAUUCCAGCUCCAAUAGCGUAUAUUAAAGUUGUUGCGGUUAAAAAGCUCGUAGUCGAAUCUGUGUCUCGCGCCGCCGGUUCAUCGCUCGCGGUGUUUAACUGGCGUGUCGCGGGACGUCCUGCCGGUGGGCUUAGCCUCCUUCGCGGGGGGCGGCCCAACUACGCAUCCCGCCGCGGUGCUCUUCGCUGAGUGUCGAGGUGGGCCGGCACGUUUACUUUGAACAAAUUAGAGUGCUUAAAGCAGGCUCAAACUUCGCCUGAAUAUUCUGUGCAUGGAAUAAUGGAAUAGGACCUCGGUUCWAUUUUGUUGGUUUUCGGAACCCCGAGGUAAUGAUUAAUAGGAACGGAUGGGGGCAUUCGUAUUGCGACGUUAGAGGUGAAAUUCUUGGAUCGUCGCAAGACGGACGGAAGCGAAAGCAUUUGCCAAAAACGUUUUCAUUGAUCAAGAACGAAAGUUAGAGGUUCGAAGGCGAUCAGAUACCGCCCUAGUUCUAACCAUAAACGAUGCCAGCUAGCGAUCCGCCNACGUUCCUCCGAUGACUCGGCGGGCAGCUUCCGGGAAACCAAAGCUUUUGGGUUCCGGGGGAA
rnacentral:rRNA from 1 species